CGCCGCAGCAAAUUUCGAAACCGUCGACGGUCGAGCACAUCAUUGAUGGUCGAACACAUCAUUAAUCUCGUUCCCAGAUCGCGCUAGCGAUAAUUAGCGCGUGAAACCAUUUGGUGACAUCUUACACCAAGUCGAUGAAAAGAUUUCGCGCGGCAUGAUAAAUAAUGUUCAGAUUUUUGAAAAGAUGGCGGGUAGCAGUGGAAACGCAAAGCAGUCGAUUCGGUUUACCGGUUAUCAUGCCUUCUACAAGAGUGUUGCAGUAAGUAUAUUUUAAAAUUUAUUAUUUUAAUGUUGAAGUAUCGUAAAAUAUUACAAAUAGAUUGUAGAAAACCAUCUCAGAAC